GUCCCGUAACGAGCGCAACCCUUGUCCUUAGUUACCAGCACGUUAUGGUGGGCACUCUAAGGAGAACUGCCGGUGACAAACCGGAGGAAGUGGGGAUGACGUCAAGUCAUCAUGGCCCUUACGGCCUGGGCUACACACGUGCUACAAUGGUCGGUACAAAGGGUUGCCAGGCCGCGAGGUGGAGCUAAUCCCAUAAAACCGAUCGUAGUCCGGAUCGCAGUCUGCAACUCGACUGCGUGAAGUCGGAAUCGCUAGUAAUCGUGAAUCAGAAUGUCACGGUGAAUACGUUCCCGGGCCUU
rnacentral:rRNA from 1 species